rnacentral:lncRNA from 1 species
AAAGAAAGAAAGAAAGAAAGAAAGAAAGAAAGAAAGAAAGAAAGAAAGCAAACAAAGGAAGGAAGGAAGGAAGGAAGGAAGGAAGGAAGGAAGGAAGGAAGGAAGGAAGGAAGGAAAGAGGGCAUUGCUUCAAAUCUGUUGGAGAUAUGUAAUUUAAAAAUCUCAUUGGAUAUUUCUAAUACACUACUAAUGAUACCUUAGAAACUGGCUCAAUGAUAGAGGGAUUUCUAAGCAGUGUAAUUUCUACAUUCGAUGAACAGCUCCAUGAAUAUGCAAUAUAAAGAAUGAUUGCAGCUAACAUUGUUUCUAAUAAGGCUUAUUCCAAUCUCUGGGUUGCUUUUAAUAAUCACAUAGUCAUUCAGAAGAUUUGUUCUCCUGCUCCAUUUUGAAGGCUGUUCUGUGCUUCAUAAAAUCAGUUCAUAUAAAACCACUGAGUUGAUUUUUCAUUUUGCCUUUUCUGGAUACCUAGGGAUACAAUUGCAACUUGUCAUUUAUUCUAUAUGCAUUUUUGAAAGAUAACAUUUUUUUGUAUUUUGGGGCUGUUGUAAAUAAAAUGCUGUAAUUACAUAGCUUAUAAACAACAAACAACUGUCACAUCCCAACCUAGAGGCUGAGAAGGCCAAGUAGAGCCAGCAGAGGUGGGUUCUAGUGUGAGCACACACUUCCUGCCUCACAGAUGAUGGUCUUGCUGUGCUUUCUCCUGUCAGAUGGGCAAAGGAUGUUCUUGGAGGCCUCUUUUAUGAGCACAAUAAGCCAAACCUGAGAGUCAGAGCCCUCAAUGUGAGCCCUUCACACAGGCUCCGCCACCACACACCCCCGUCUUGUGACUAAAUCUCAACAUAAUGGACUGGGAGAGUGGAUGGCACAAGGGUUCUGACUGUCACACCUGGGUGCGUGUCAUUCAAUAAGAGCAAUGAUGACUUGUUCCACCUAGAAAGUGCUCUGAAUAGAGAGGCAUCUCAAUGCAAUUUCUUCACCAUUACUCACUCAUCUUUUUGUGAUAUCACUUUCCUUUAUUAUCCAGAAACAUAAGUGGAGGAGGGAGAGCUACAGGGCAUGGAUCCACAGAAGAGGAAGUAGGAUAUCACUGUGAUAUAUUCUUUGUUUGUUUGUUUGUUUGUUUGUUUGUUUGUUUGAACUGAGUGUCAGAGAUCCUAGCAGGGUUCUACUCUAUGGACUGGAUGCCUCUUCUGUGAGGUCUUGAAUUCAUGGAAGUGAUUAAAAUCUGAUUUGGAUAGAUUAGCAUAUCUCAGAGAUUUCUAAUUAACUGAGAUUCUCUUCCCCUUGUCUUUUUUUCUCCCUCUUUCUUUUCAUUUUCAUUUUCAUUUUUUUUCUUGCCUUGAUUUUUGUUUUUAUUAAGUCAUUUUUUUUCUUUGUUAGGCAGAAUCUCACAUCAUAACCCCAAAUGACCUGUUACUCACCAUGUGGCCCAGCUGUCUUCAAACUCACCAGCCUCCUGCCUUAGCCUUCUAAAUGCUUGGAUUACAGGCAUGACCCACCAUAACUGGCUUUGUUUUAGUUUCAGAGAAGAUGAAACUGAUGUGCGUCAAAAAGCUGGUAGUCUGUCAAGGAAAUGAGCUGAACAUGUCUGUGUACAGCUUUUGUGCCAUCCCUGGAUGAGCGAGCUGUCUGCCUCUAUGUUCUCCACAAAAUGGAAUAUAGCUGUACACCCAAGCCAAGUUAUGGAGGCUGGGAAGACCUAGAAUGUGGCAUCACUAUUUGGUUAUUUAGAAAAUUGUUACCUCAAAAAUGACCUAGGGGUCCUUAGAAUAAUAACACACAGAAGAAUAGCCUCAUUUUUCUGUUGGGCCCAGGAAACCAUGCCGAUUACCGACCGAGCUCUCAAUGGAAAAAUGCAGUCGGCGUGAACCACGCACGAACACAGCAGAGAAAGAAGAAAACACACACCACGAGGAACCCUAAUAGGACAAUACAUUAUAAGCCUCAUGGUACAUCCACUUGGUGUGCUGGGAGAGUCAGGAUGAGGACCUGAGAAGAACAGCAGCUUGAACCUGACUUCAUUUAACAGCCCACUGCCCUCUUGCCAAGAACCCAUCACAGACCUUCCCAGAAGAGAGGGAUGAGCCUCACCUAUGAAUAAGUCCUCAGAAACUCAAAUUUGAUUCUAAUGGAUUGUUUUCUCAGAAAGACUGAGCAUGUCCCCCCACAUCUCUGUCAUUUCCCACAGUAGUAACCUCUGCAGAUGCCACAUAGAAAACAAAACAAAACAAAAAAACAUGAGGUUGGUGGGCAGAUAGGCAGGGUAUAAACAAACAGCCUUGUAACCCAGAAGCUGUGUGAUAUACAGUAAACUUCACAACACUGAAAAGAUGUCCUAUCUGUUAAAAUGGGGUAAUAACAACUACCCGAAUGUUUAGGAAUAGAACUUCAAUAAAUGAUACAUUUUAUAGUACAGCAGACCAUCCUGUAAAGGUUUCAUCCUUCACUGUGGUGAUAAAUAUCCCAAACCACAUUGAAAAGCAUUGCAUCUACAUUUAUCUACACUGUAACUGUACUGUAAAUCAUGGGGGAGGGGAGAAUCAUAAAAACACCACCUGUCACCGUGUCAUUAAAGCAAGUUGGAAGUGAUACUUACAGAAACACAGCAAGAGCACCCCCAGUCACACAGUUCAAUCUCUUAGCAAGCGUUUUCUUUCUAGCCCAGUGGUUCUCAGUUUGGAAUUUUUGGCACUGCCUAGAGAUAGUUUUGUUGUUAAAACUGAGAAAAGAGCCGGGCGUGGUGGCACACGCCUUUAAUCCCAGCACUCAGGAGGCAGAGGCAGG